UACGGAGGGUGCAAGCGUUGUCCGGAUUUAUUGGGCGUAAAGAGUUCGUAGGCUUUUUAGUAAGUCAUUUUUCAAAGCCCUUGGCUCAACCAAGGAAAGGGAGAUGAUACUGCUUUAAUUGAAGGACUUCGGGGCUACUGGAACUUGCGGUGUAGGAGUGAAAUCCGUUGAUAUCGUAAGGAACGUCGAGGGCGAAGGCAGGUAGCUAGAAGUAUCUUGACGCUGAGGAACGAAAGCCAGGGGAGCGAAA
rnacentral:rRNA from 1 species